rnacentral:lncRNA from 1 species
ACUUGUUCCAGGUCUCGUGGAGUAAAUAAACUGGAAUCUGCUCCUCGCUGUCCUGCCCUUCACAUGGUGCCAGAGGCAGCUCCUGCGUGCACACCUGUGGCUCACCAGCCUGUCUGCUCCUGGGGAGCUGGGGCCUCCCCUGGUUUACAUCUGCAUCUCUAGGACACCCACGCUGCACUCUGCACACUGAGUUCUCAGGAGAUUCCUGCUGAGCAAAGAAGGAUGAAUUGUAGGCCUGCUUCUUUUUUUUUUUUGAGACGGAGUUUUGCUCUUGUUUCCCAGGCUGGAGUGCAAUGGCGUGAUCUCAGCUCACCACACCCUCCGCCUCCCGGGUUCAAGUGAUUCUCCUGCCUCAGCUUCCUGAGUAGCUGGGACUACAGGCAUGGGCCACCACACCUGGCUCAUUUUAUAUUUUUAGUAGAGACGGGGUUUGUCUAUGUUGGUCAGGCUGGCUGCGAACUCCCAACCUCAGGCGAUCCACCCGUCUCGGUCUCCUAAAGUGCUGGGAUUACAGGAGUGAGCCACCGCGCUUGGCCAGGCCUGCUUUUAAGGAUGCCCCAGGUCCAGAAAAUCAGGGCCAGCCCUGGGAAGUUCGCUCCUUCAGGCAGGUGUGCAUCUUCAUGUGAGACUUGAUCAGACCUGGGUUUUUGUAUCUACCCCACUCCGAAGCUCUCCUGCGUGAACCUGGAAUUCUCACUGCUUUGGGCAGGCCAGGCCACCACCAAGCCAGAUCUGGCGCCAGUGGAGAAAGGAGACAGGGAGGCAACUGCAGCCUGCCCAGUGUGGAGAGGGGCCAGAGCCCGGGCACUGGCGGGCUGUUGCUGCCAGAAUUCUAGAAGCAGUGUAAACGGGCUGCUCAUUCAUUAGGUACGGGCAGGGUCUGGGCACUGCACUUUCAACACUUUCCUCCCGUGAUUCUGGUGCCGUUAGUUUGAAAAUCACGGCUCAGAGAUCCCUCUGAACAGAAAGUGACC